rnacentral:rRNA from 1 species
AUUGAGCGCUGGCGGCAGGCUUAACACAUGCAAGUCGAGCGGGGUGAUGGUGCUUGCACUAUCACUUAGCGGCGGACGGGUGAGUAAUGCUUAGGAAUCUGCCUAUUAGUGGGGGACAACAUCUCGAAAGGGAUGCUAAUACCGCAUACGUCCUACGGGAGAAAGCAGGGGAUCACUUGUGACCUUGCGCUAAUAGAUGAGCCUAAGUCGGAUUAGCUAGUUGGUGGGGUAAAGGCCUACCAAGGCGACGAUCUGUAGCGGGUCAGAGAGGAUGAUCCGCCACACUGGGACUGAGACACGGCCCAGACUCCGACGGGAGGCAGCAGUGUGGAAUAUUGGACAAUGGGGGGAACCCUGAUCCAGCCAUGCCGCGUGUGUGAAGAAGGCCUUAUGGUUGUAAAGCACUUUAAGCGAGGAGGAGGCUCUUUUGGUUAAUACCCAAGAUGAGUGGACGUUACUCGCAGAAUAAGCACCGGCUAACUCUGUGCCAGCCGCCGCGGUAA